UGCUAUAAUGCAGUCGAGCGAACAGACGAGGAGCUUGCUCCUUUGACGUUAGCGGCUUGACGGGUGAGUAACACGUGGGUAACCUACCUAUAAGACUGGGAUAACUUCGGGAAACCGGAGCUAAUACCGGAUAAUAUUUCGAACCGCAUGGUUCGAUAGUGAAAGAUGGCUCUGCUAUCACUUAUAGAUGGACCUGCGCCGUAUUAGCUAGUUGGUAAGGUAACGGCUUACCAAGGCAACGAUACGUAGCCGACCUGAGAGGGUGAUCGGCCACACUGGAACUGAGACACGGUCCAGACUCCUACGGGAGGCAGCAGUAGGGAAUCUUCCGCAAUGGGCGAAAGCCUGACGGAGCAACGCCGCGUGAGUGAUGAAGGUCUUCGGAUCGUAAAACUCUGUUAUUAGGGAAGAACAAACGUGUAAGUAACUGUGCACGUCUUGACGGUACCUAAUCAGAAAGCCACGGCUAACUACGUGCCAGCAGCCGCGGUAAUACGUAGGUGGCAAGCGUUAUCCGGAAUUAUUGGGCGUAAAGCGCGCGUAGGCGGUUUUUUAAGUCUGAUGUGAAAGCCCACGGCUCAACCGUGGAGGGUCAUUGGAAACUGGAAAACUUGAGUGCAGAAGAGGAAAGUGGAAUUCCAUGUGUAGCGGUGAAAUGCGCAGAGAUAUGGAGGAACACCAGUGGCGAAGGCGACUUUCUGGUCUGUAACUGACGCUGAUGUGCGAAAGCGUGGGGAUCAAACAGGAUUAGAUACCCUGGUAGUCCACGCCGUAAACGAUGAGUGCUAAGUGUUAGGGGGUUUCCGCCCCUUAGUGCUGCAGCUAACGCAUUAAGCACUCCGCCUGGGGAGUACGACCGCAAGGUUGAAACUUCAAGGAAUUGACGGGUACCCGCACAAGCGGUGGAGCAUGUGUUUAUUCGAAGCAACCGCGAAGAACCUUACCAAAUCUUUGACCAUCCCUUUG
rnacentral:rRNA from 1 species